rnacentral:rRNA from 3 species
GACGAACGCUGGCGGCGUGCCUAAUACAUGCAAGUCGAACGAACUCUGGUAUUGAUUGGUGCUUGCAUCAUGAUUUACAUUUGAGUGAGUGGCGAACUGGUGAGUAACACGUGGGAAACCUGCCCAGAAGCGGGGGAUAACACCUGGAAACAGAUGCUAAUACCGCAUAACAACUUGGACCGCAUGGUCCGAGCUUGAAAGAUGGCUUCGGCUAUCACUUUUGGAUGGUCCCGCGGCGUAUUAGCUAGAUGGUGGGGUAACGGCUCACCAUGGCAAUGAUACGUAGCCGACCUGAGAGGGUAAUCGGCCACAUUGGGACUGAGACACGGCCCAAACUCCUACGGGAGGCAGCAGUAGGGAAUCUUCCACAAUGGACGAAAGUCUGAUGGAGCAACGCCGCGUGAGUGAAGAAGGGUUUCGGCUCGUAAAACUCUGUUGUUAAAGAAGAACAUAUCUGAGAGUAACUGUUCAGGUAUUGACGGUAUUUAACCAGAAAGCCACGGCUAACUACGUGCCAGCAGCCGCGGUAAUACGUAGGUGGCAAGCGUUGUCCGGAUUUAUUGGGCGUAAAGCGAGCGCAGGCGGUUUUUUAAGUCUGAUGUGAAAGCCUUCGGCUCAACCGAAGAAGUGCAUCGGAAACUGGGAAACUUGAGUGCAGAAGAGGACAGUGGAACUCCAUGUGUAGCGGUGAAAUGCGUAGAUAUAUGGAAGAACACCAGUGGCGAAGGCGGCUGUCUGGUCUGUAACUGACGCUGAGGCUCGAAAGUAUGGGUAGCAAACAGGAUUAGAUACCCUGGUAGUCCAUACCGUAAACGAUGAAUGCUAAGUGUUGGAGGGUUUCCGCCCUUCAGUGCUGCAGCUAACGCAUUAAGCAUUCCGCCUGGGGAGUACGGCCGCAAGGCUGAAACUCAAAGGAAUUGACGGGGGCCCGCACAAGCGGUGGAGCAUGUGGUUUAAUUCGAAGCUACGCGAAGAACCUUACCAGGUCUUGACAUACUAUGCAAAUCUAAGAGAUUAGACGUUCCCUUCGGGGACAUGGAUACAGGUGGUGCAUGGUUGUCGUCAGCUCGUGUCGUGAGAUGUUGGGUUAAGUCCCGCAACGAGCGCAACCCUUAUUAUCAGUUGCCAGCAUUAAGUUGGGCACUCUGGUGAGACUGCCGGUGACAAACCGGAGGAAGGCGGGGAUGACGUCAAAUCAUCAUGCCCCUUAUGACCUGGGCUACACACGUGCUACAAUGGAUGGUACAACGAGUUGCGAACUCGCGAGAGUAAGCUAAUCUCUUAAAGCCAUUCUCAGUUCGGAUUGUAGGCUGCAACUCGCCUACAUGAAGUCGGAAUCGCUAGUAAUCGCGGAUCAGCAUGCCGCGGUGAAUACGUUCCCGGGCCUUGUACACACCGCCCGUCACACCAUGAGAGUUUGUAACACCCAAAGUCGGUGGGGUAACCUUUUAGGAACCAGCCGCCUAAGGUGGGACAGAUGAUUAGGGUG